GGCGGGUCUCCCCGCAUUACAGAGCGGUGAAUCGGGUCAGGUCCGGAAGGAAGCAGCCACAGCCGCAUCCUGCAAGUGCCGGGGGUCGGGCUCGCCACC
rfam:Ferrovum sp. Z-31 FEMY_contig000012, whole genome shotgun sequence.